AUCGGUACUCCCCUGUCUAGUACCGGUAUUUAACACUAAAAAUCUGUACUUUGCGGAUUCUGAUAUUAAAACUCUGCUCUCGCGCCGCACUGAGUCUGUUUUGCUUCCAUUUCGCGCCAAAACGGCUCUGACUUGUCCCGACACUCUCCAGAUGUGUUGACAAAUCUCAGAUGCUGAAAUCUCACUGGCCACCAAUCACCAGGAAUACUAUACACACACACACACACACAUAUAUA
rnacentral:lncRNA from 1 species